rnacentral:lncRNA from 1 species
GGAGGUGUGACGUAAGGAGGGGACACAAACGCAGGUGCUUAUCUCUAAGCAGUCAAAGGCACUGGAUGUCAUAUCAUGGGAACUACCUUUCAAAGAAACAGCUUUAGUGUUUCCGUUCAGCACACCAGGGAGGAGAGAAAUAUAAGUUUUGGAAACAAACAAAAAAAAGUGAUGGAAACUCUCCAGUUCAGAUCCAGUAGCUUUUAGGGAAGUGAGUCCACGUUUACCUGAGCAUGGCUGAGUGGAAUGGAACAUUGAGGGACAGAAGGCCAGGUCUCUGCUGCAGAGACCUGACAGUCAAAGAAUGCCGAGCCUAGUGUUUGAAAGCAGAUGGUGGCCAUGUGAAUCCUGGUUCUACCUCUUUCUACCUGUGUGAACCCCGGGUAAGGUGGUGAGCUCAAUUUCCUUCCCUUUUCUCAUAUGUAACAUCAAUAAUACUUCACCAUAGACAUGCUAAGAUGACUAAGUAAGAAAG